rnacentral:rRNA from 1 species
AUACGUAGGGGGCGAGCGUUGUCCGGAAUGAUUGGGCGUAAAGGGCGCGUAGGCGGCGCGGUAAGUCUGGAGUGAAAGUCCUGCUUUCAAGGUGGGAAUUGCUUUGGAUACUGCCGCGCUUGAGUGCAGGAGAGGUUAUCGGAAUUCCCGGUGUAGCGGUGAAAUGCGUAGAGAUCGGGAGGAACACCAGUGGCGAAGGCGGGUAACUGGACUGCAACUGACGCUGAGGCGCGAAAGUGUGGGGAGCAAACAGGAUUAGAUACCCUGGUAGUCCACACUGUAAACGAUGAAUGCUAGGUGUAGGAGGUAUCGACCCCUUCUGUGCCGCAGUAAACACGGUAAGCAUUCCGCCUGGGGAGUACGGUCGCAAGAAUGAAACUCAAAUGAAUUGACGGGG